GCUCGUGUCGUGAGAUGUUGGUUAGUCCGCAACGAGCGCAACCCCUACUUGUUAGUUGCCAUCAUUCAGUUGGGCACUCUAGCGAGACUGCCGGUAAUAAACCGGAGGAAGGUGGGGAUGACGUCAAAUCAUCAUGCCCCUUAUGACCUGGGCUACACACGUGCUACAAUGGUUGGUACAACGAGUUGCGAGUCGGUGACGGCGAGCUAAUCUCUUAAAGCCAAUCUCAGUUCGGAUUGUAGGCUGCAACUCGCCUACAUGAAGUCGGAAUCGCUAGUAAUCGCGGAUCAGCACGCCGCGGUGAAUACGUUCCCGGGCCUU
rnacentral:rRNA from 1 species